rnacentral:rRNA from 1 species
GAUGAACGCUGGCGGUAUGCCUUACACAUGCAAGUCGAACGGCAGCACGGGAGCAAUCCUGGUGGCGAGUGGCGAACGGGUGAGUAAUAUAUCGGAACGUGCCCAGUCGUGGGGGAUAACGUAGCGAAAGCUACGCUAAUACCGCAUACGAUCUAUGGAUGAAAGCGGGGGAUCGCAAGACCUCGCGCGAUCGGAGCGGCCGAUAUCAGAUUAGGUAGUUGGUGAGGUAAAGGCUCACCAAGCCGACGAUCUGUAGCUGGUCUGAGAGGACGACCAGCCACACUGUGACUGAGACACGGCCCAGACUCCUACGGGAGGCAGCAGUGGGGAAUUUUGGACAAUGGGCGCAAGCCUGAUCCAGCAAUGCCGCGUGCAGGAUGAAGGCCUUCGGGUUGUAAACUGCUUUUGUACGGAACGAAACGGCGAGCUCUAAUACAGUUUGCUAAUGACGGUACCGUAAGAAUAAGCACCGGCUAACUACGUGCCAGCCGCCGCAGUAA